CUCUGAACGAGUCCCUCUGGCACUCUCUCCUCUGUGAACUGCAACUCCAAUCAUGCUGAGUUCUCUGAGAUUCUGUCUAAAACAUGUCUUAAUCUGCAAGAGCUGGAGGUGUUCUCUUGAAGGGUUUUAGCUUUCUGAGUGUCAGAGAUCUAUAUUUAUGCCAUAUAAAUCACGUGAAGGAUUUAUGCCCACAGUCCUCUAAUUAAACAACAUGAUUUUAUAGGAAGGUCAUUAUGUGUAUUAGACUAAAGAAUACUUUUCGAACAUCUAUCAUGAAGCCUACCACAUGGC